rnacentral:tRNA from 1 species
GUUGUGGCUCAGCGGUAGAGCGCUCGCCUGGCACAUUCAAGGCACUGAGUUCGAUUCUCAGCACAACA